GGAUGGUGCUAACCCACACGGAGGGCAGUUAUUUCAAGAACCACGUAAGAAGGAAGAAAACAAUCAGGACGGGAGUCCUGCCAUUGCCAUUUCACUUGGCCCCUGAAGUUCGCCUAGGUUGGAGGGCAGAGCUGUCACUCAGGUGCCCCUAGCAGGCGUGAACCUGCAGUGGUACACAGGCCAGAAUGGGGUGGAGAAACAGAGAGCACUCUUUCAUCCUGAUGCCACCCACCACUUUGGAGCUGUGAGACCCUGGGCAAAUUCCUCACCCUCUCUGAGUCACAGACUCACAUCUGUGAGGCUUCACUCUUUCAUAAACACAGCAAGAAUAACCUCUGGACGCUGGCCUACCAUCAUCAAGUAUGAAAAUGUGAAUUCCACGGGUCACUGUUUUUGCAGCCGCCAGAUGUGGAUGAAAGGGGAAGGGUGUUUUAUUGUGUUUUCUCAAGAAACAGAGAAAGACAGGGGUAAACCAUAUGCUAAGAAGUU
rnacentral:lncRNA from 1 species